UACGUAGGUGGCAAGCGUUGUCCGGAUUUAUUGGGUUUAAAGGGUGCGUAGGCGGCCUUGUAAGUCAGUGCUGAAAUAUCCCGGCUUAACCGGGAGGGUGGCAUUGAUACUGCAGGGCUUGAGUAAAGUUGAGGUUGGCGGAAUUGACGGUGUAGCGGUGAAAUGCUCAGAUAUCGUCAAGAACACCGAUAGUGAAGACAGCUAACUAAGCUUUAACUGACGCUGAGGCACGAAAGUGUGGGGAUCAAACAGG
rnacentral:rRNA from 1 species